GGAAUAUUGGACAAUGGGGGAAACCCUGAUCCAGCAAUGCCGCGUGCGUGAAGAAGGCCUUAGGGUUGUAAAGCGCUUUCGCCCGCGAAGAUGAUGACGGUAGCGGGAGAAGGAGCCCCGGCUCACUCCGUGCCAGCAGCCGCGGUAAUACGGAGGGGGCUAGCGUUGUUCGGAAUUACUGGGCGUAAAGGGUGCGUAGGCGGCGAUCCAAGUCAGGCGUGAAAGCCCCGGGCUCAACCUGGGAGGUGCGCUUGAUACUGGAUUGCUCGAGUCCGGGAGAGGAUAGCGGAAUUCCCAGUGUAGAGGUGAAAUUCGUAGAUAUUGGGAAGAACACCGGUGGCGAAGGCGGCUAUCUGGACCGGCACUGACGCUGAGGCACGACAGCGUGGGGAGCAAA
rnacentral:rRNA from 1 species